rnacentral:tRNA from 1 species
CAGAGAGUAGUUUAAUUUAGAAUGCCAGCUUUGGGAGUUGGUGAUGGAGGUUUAAUUCCUUCCUCUUUGA